rnacentral:lncRNA from 1 species
AAAAUCUUCCCCAGCGAGGGCUCCAAGCAAACAGCCGAUGUCAAUCUAGUCACCCAAGCCCGGCCAGAUCCAGAUCAAGAGGCCAUGGACACAACAGCACAGGUGCAGCAGAGCCUGAACCGCUGAGUAAAGAUGCUCAGACUCAAACAAGCUCAAGUACGUUUGAAAACAAGGAGACUCAGACAGAGACUGUCAGUCAAGAAACACAGCAGAAGCAAACAGAGCUCAAUGGCAACACAGAGACCACAGAAGUGUCACGGCCAACAGAACUCAGUCCUGAAGAUGUUAAGACGGAGGUGGAAACUGGCCUGUCAAGGAACAAAGGAAAUGAAAGUGAUGGAGAAAAGAAUGAAAGUGCUGAGAGGAAGAAAAGAAAAGUGAGUGAAUCAAGAGAAACUACAGAGGAGACAAAAGAAAAGACCAAACUCUACAGAUAGGCACAGAGACCACAGAAGUGUCACGGCCAACAGAACUCAGUCCUGAAGAUGUUAAGACGGAGGUGGAAACUGGCCUGUCAAGGAACAAAGGAAAUGAAAGUGAUGGAGAAAAGAAUGAAAGUGCUGAGAGGAAGAAAAGAAAAGUGAGUGAAUCAAGAGAAACUACAGAGGAGACAAAAGAAAAGACCAAACUCUCAGAUGGUUUAAGAAAACAAGAUGGAGACAAUCAGAAAGACAAGGAUGCAGAUAAAAAAUGUUCAGAAAGAGAUUCACAAAAAGACACUAAAUUCAAGUCAGAAACACAAGAACCAAAAUCUUAUGCUGCAGCAGCUGCUGCUACAGAAAAGACUGAACUGUCUAAGGAGCAGAAGAAUCAGACAGCAGCAGAUCAGGACAAUAGUAAAAGAAGAAAAUCUUCCCCAGCGAGGGCUCCAAGCAAACAGCCGAUGUUCACUUUCUACAUUUAUGCUGUUCUGGACAAAAAAUUCCGAUUUAACACACAGCGUGACUCUCUUUUGCUUCUUCAUGGGAAUGAAGUCUUUCAACUAGAGAUUAAAUAUUUUUUGGGUCUAAAACAGGAAGGCUAUUUGAUUGAAGCAACAUUUUCCCUCUGGCAAGGCAUUGAUAGGGGUGUUCCAAUAGAAUACACAUAUGCAGUGCAGAAACAAAAUGGCCGCAUUAUGGAAACAGCGUUAAGAUGUGUUUACACCCCCACUGACAAUACAGUAAAAGAACUGCACCUUUAUGAAGGUUACAUAAGUUCAAGUUCAAGAUCUGUUAAAGAAAGGGCGAUGAAUUGGUUCUUUCGGAAUGCACAAGAAGAAAUUUGCAAAUGCUGGGAGACCUCUGCCAGUGUACUGCUGGACAGAGUGUUUAAGAAAUGGGGUUCAUUUAAUGAUGAAGACAACAAGACACUUAUCGAACACCUAAACAGUUACAAACAAUGUUUUCAGUCAGUCAUGAGACGUUUGAGAUUUCAAGAAAAUCUCUCCCCUUCUCAAAUAGAAGUCUCAGAACUGAUUUCUAGUAAACUGAGUUGGAUUUUGAAAGGAGAAUCUGGAGGGAAAACUUCAGAGAGCUUGUCUGGGAUCAAAUCAUUGGAAGUGGCCCUCUCAGUGUUCCAGGUGUGCUGCGGCUGUGGUGUGGAUCUUGGCCCAAAGGACUGGGGCAAACUCUGCCAAGUAGUCUCUGAAAGGAUGGCCCAAAGGACUGGGGCAAACUCUGCCAAGUAG